CCCUGGUGCGCUUGGCCCCGCUCCUGGCCGCCUGCGUGUGGCAGCGGCAGCCGUUCCGCCUGCGCUACGUGCCGGGCCGCGGCGAGAUCCCGGCGCACUUGGGCGGCCCCGCGGUGUUCGGGGAUAACGUGGAGGAUGAGUGGUUCAUUGUGUAGCUGCUGCGGGAGAUGAGCAGGGAGUUGCCGGGGCUGGCAGCCAGGUGACUUUCACUCGGUGUUUGUAUGCACAGCUGGUGCAGCAGCAGUUUGUUCCAGACAGACGCAGUGGAUACACCCUGCCCGCCCCAGCUCAUCCUCAGUACAGAGCCUGCGAGCUGGGCAUGAAGCUGGGAAUGAUUCCUGGGGCAUUCUGGCCUUGGCUCAUGCAUGUGCAGGGAAUGGGUCCUUGUCUGGAGGUUGCCUGCUUGUCCAGAGAAAUGUGAGCAAAGUCUGUCACACCUUGAGAACCUCUUGUUGUUGCAUCUUUUGUCUGCAGGCUCAUGGCUUUGAAAUGUUGUGCUCCAAGAGCAGUAAAGUGGCUCCUGAUGCCAAGAGAAACGUGUUAAGGGGUCCCCUGUGGGAGAGAUUCCUCAGGAGCUUGAAGGAGAAGGAUUAUUUCAAGGGAGAAAUGGAAGGAUCAGCCAAGUACCUGGAGCUGUUGCACAUGGCAGAAGAUCACUUCCAGGAAUCUGUUG